ACGACCGUACCGCAAACCGACACUGGUGCGCGAGAUGAGUAUUCUAAGGCGCUUGAGAGAACUCAGGAGAAGGAACUCGGCAAAUUGACACCGUAACUUCGGAAGAAGGUGUGCCUUUAGUAGGUGAAGUCCCUCGCGGAUGGAGCCCAAUGAGGUUGCAAAGAAUCGGUGGCUGCGACUGUUUAUUAAAAACACAGCACUCUGCAAACACGAAAGUGGACGUAUAGGGUGUGACGCCUGCCCGGUGCUGGAAGAUUAAAUGAUGGGGUGCAAGCUCUUGAUUGAAGUCCCAGUAAACGGCGGCCGUAACUAUAACGGUCCUAAGGUAGCGAAAUUCCUUGUCGGGUAUGUUCCGACCUGCACGAAUGGCGUAACGAUGGCCACACUGUCUCCUCCUGAGACUCAGCGAAGUUGAAAUGUUUGUGAUGAUGCAAUCUCCCCGCGGAAAGACGGAAAGACCCCAUGAACCUUUACUGUAGCUUUGUAUUGGACUUUGAACAGAUCUGUGUAGGAUAGGUGGGAGGCUUUGAAGCAGGGUCGCUAGAUCUUGUGGAGCCAACGUUGAAAUACCACCCUGGUGUGUUUGAGGUUCUAACCUAGGCCCGUAAUCCGGGUUGGGGACAGUGCAUGGUAGGCAGUUUGACUGGGGCGGUCUCCUCCCAAAGUGUAACGGAGGAGUUCGAAGGUACGCUAGUUACGGUCGGACAUCGUGACGAUAGUGCAAUGGCAUAAGCGUGCUUAACUGCGAGACUGACAAGUCGAGCAGAUGCGAAAGCAGGACAUAGUGAUCCGGUGGUUCUGUAUGGAAGGGCCAUCGCUCAACGGAUAAAAGGUACUCUGGGGAUAACAGGCUGAUACCGCCCAAGAGUUCAUAUCGACGGCGGUGUUUGGCACCUCGAUGUCGGCUCAUCUCAUCCUGGGGCUGUAGCCGGUCCCAAGGGUAUGGCUGUUCGCCAUUUAAAGAGGUACGUGAGCUGGGUUUAAAACGUCGUGAGACAGUUUGGUCCCUAUCUUCCGUGGGCGCUGCAGAUUUGAGGAAGCCUGCUCCUAGUACGAGAGGACCGGAGUGGACGCACCUCUGGUGUAUCGGUUGUCACGCCAGUGGCAUUGCCGAGUAGCUAUGUGCGGAAGAGAUAACCGCUGAAAGCAUCUAAGCGGGAAACUCGUUUCAAGAUGAGAUCUGCCGGGGCCUUGAGCCCCCUGAAGAGUCGUUCAAGACCAGGACGUUGAUAGGUCGGGUGUGGAAGCGCAGUAAUGCGUUAAGCUAACCGAUACUAAUUGCUCGUGCGGCUUGACCCG
rnacentral:rRNA from 1 species